AGCUCCAAUAGCGUAUAUUAAAGUUGCUGCAGUUAAAAAGCUCGUAGUUGGAUUUCUGGUACGAUAUGCCUGGCCCGUCCUCGUCAGAGGCUCGAGUGCUGGUGUGUGUCUGCCAUCUUUCUAGAGAGCGGCACUUCCCUUCAUUGGAGAGGUGUCCGUCAUCUAGAUCUUUUACUUUGAAAAAAUUAGAGUGUUUAAAGCAGGCUUGCGCUAUGAAUACAUUAGCAUGGAAUAAUAAUUUAGGACUUUGUUUCUAUUUUGUUGGUUUCUAGAGGCGAAGUAAUGAUUGAUAGGGAUAGUUGGGGGUGCUAGUAUUCAUCGGCCAGAGGUGAAAUUCUUGGAUUCGAUGAAGACUAACUUAUGCGAAAGCAUUCACCAAGGAUGUCUUCU
rnacentral:rRNA from 1 species